rnacentral:tRNA from 1 species
GCAUUGAUGGUUCAAUAGUAGGAUUCUCAUCUUCCAUGUAGGAGACCCAGGUUUGAUUCCUGGACAACGUA